rnacentral:rRNA from 1 species
UACAGAGGGGGCAAGCGUUGUUCGGAAUUACUGGGCGUAAAGGGCGCGUAGGCGGCCGCCUAAGUCAGACGUGAAAUCCCCAGGCUUAACCUGGGAACUGCAUUCGAGACUGCAUUGCUAGAGUAUGGGAGAGGGAAGUGGAAUUUCCGGUGUAGCGGUGAAAUGCGUAGAUAUCGGAAGGAACAUCAGUGGCGAAAGCGACUUCCUGGACCAAUACUGACGCUCAUGUGCGAAAGCGUGGGGAGCAAACAGG